GCUAGUGUGGUGUAGUGGUUUGAGCAUUGGAUGAUGACUAUAGACCAGGGUUUGAAUCCCAGCUUUGGCC